rnacentral:lncRNA from 1 species
ACAAAAAUGCCAUAAAUCCACACCGAUAUAUCUUGACUGCCGCCUAGAAGUCCUCGACUUACUAUGCCAAAAGUCCCCUUAUUCCAACCAAUAGAUCUCCAGAUACUACAAAAAUCCUAAACAAUCCCAAUCUGCUAACUCCCAAUAUCUCUUUACACUAAUGGUCAAAUAUCCUCUAUUUGUUUCGUCAGAUUAACACAAACUUUUAGAUGCACUCGACAUACUCAACCCUCUAGAUACCCCUAAAUUUCAACCGUAGAAGUUUUUUCAAUUUCAUAAAAUAGUGAAGAGUACCAACCUUAACUUUAUUACAAAAAAAAAUCCAAUUCACCAAUACAAACACUGACUUUCAGCAACAAUUGCAAAAAUCCUCUCAAAUCCUAAGAAAUCCAAUUCUACACCUUUCGAAGGAGCUUGAAGCUAGCUCUCUAACUCCCAAAAAUCCUGAUCUCUGAAUGCCUCUUUUUUU